AUAUUCUGGUUUCUCUUCAGAUCAUAUAAAUCUUUCACCUUUUACUAAAGGUUUCUUUGGAGAGGAAUAGUUAAUUCUGAGUUGUAACCCAGUUUCUUGAGGUUCUCUGCAGGGCU